UGCAGUCGACGAAGCUCUUGCGACAGAUUCCUUCGGGAUGAAGAUGCUUGAGACUUAGUGGCGGACGGGUGAGUAACGCGUGGGUAACCUGCCCUGUACUGGGGGACAACAGUUAGAAAUGACUGCUAAUACCGCAUAAGCCUACAGAGUCGCAUGACUCAGCAGGAAAAAUUCCGGUGGUACAGGAUGGGCCCGCGUCUGAUUAGCUAGUUGGUGAGGUAAUGGCUCACCAAGGCGACGAUCAGUAGCCGGCUUGAGAGAGAGAACGGCCACAUUGGGACUGAGACACGGCCCAAACUCCUACGGGAGGCAGCAGUGGGGAAUAUUGCACAAUGGGGGAAACCCUGAUGCAGCAACGCCGCGUGAGUGAAGAAGUAUUUCGGUAUGUAAAGCUCUAUCAGCAGGGAAGAAAAUGACGGUACCUGACUAAGAAGCACCGGCUAAAUACGUGCCAGCAGCCGCGGUAAUACGUAUGGCGCAAGCGUUAUCCGGAUUUACUGGGUGUAAAGGGAGCGCAGGCGGUCUGGCAAGUCUGAUGUGAAAAUCCGGGGCUCAACUCCGGAACUGCAUUGGAAACUGUCAGACUAGAGUGUCGGAGAGGUAAGUGGAAUUCCUAGUGUAGCGGUGAAAUGCGUAGAUAUUAGGAGGAACACCAGUGGCGAAGGCGGCUUACUGGACGAUAACUGACGCUGAGGCUCGAAAGCGUGGGGAGCAAACAGGAUUAGAUACCCUGGUAGUCCACGCCGUANACGAUGAAUNCUAGGUGUCGGGGCACAAAAGUGCUUCGGUGCCGCAGCAAACGCAUUA
rnacentral:rRNA from 1 species